rnacentral:siRNA from 1 species
UGCAGGUGACGAUUUACACUCUA